rnacentral:rRNA from 1 species
AACGAACGCUGGCGGCAGGCCUAACACAUGCAAGUCGAGCGGACCCUUCGGGAUUAGCGGCGGACGGGUGAGUAACGCGUGGGAAUAUGCCCUUCUCUACGGAAUAGUCCUGGGAAACUGGGGGUAAUACCGUAUACGCCCUUUGGGGGAAAGAUUUAUCGGGGAAGGAUUAGCCCGCGUUGGAUUAGGUAGUUGGUGGGGUAAUGGCCUACCAAGCCGACGAUCCAUAGCUGGUUUGAGAGGAUGAUCAGCCACACUGGGACUGAGACACGGCCCAGACUCCUACGGGAGGCAGCAGUGGGGAAUCUUAGACAAUGGGGGCAACCCUGAUCUAGCCAUGCCGCGUGAGUGAUGAAGGCCUUAGGGUUGUAAAGCUCUUUCAGCUGGGAAGAUAAUGACGGUACCAGCAGAAGAAGCCCCGGCUAACUCCGUG